rnacentral:rRNA from 1 species
CCCUUAGAUGUUCUGGGCUGCACGCGCGCUACACUGAUGCGUUCAACGAGUGUACAACCUUGCCCGAUAGGGUUGGGUAACCUUUUGAACACGCAUCGUGAUGGGGAUUGAGUAUUGCAAUUAUUACUCAUCAACGAGGAAUUCCUAGUAAUGAUGAAUCAUCAGUUCAUCGUGAUUACGUCCCUGCCCUUUGUACACACCGCCCGUCGCUCCUACCGAUUGAGCAAUCCGGUGAAUAUUUCGGACCUAGAAUUGUCGGGGCAACUCGUUCAGUUUUGGGAAAGUCAAGUUAACCUUAUUGCUUAGAGGAAGGAGAAGUCGUANCA